CAGCCGCCGCGGUAAUACGGAGGGUGCAAGCGUUAAUCGGAAUUACUGGGCGUAAAGCGCACGCAGGCGGUCUGACAAGUCAGAUGUGAAAUCCCCGGGCUUAACCUGGGAACUGCAUUUGAAACUGGCAGGCUAGAGUCUGGUAGAGGGGGGUAGAAUUUCCUGUGUAGCGGUGAAAUGCGUAGAUAUAGGAAGGAACACCAGUGGCGAAGGCGACCACCUGGACUGAUACUGACACUGAGGUGCGAAAGCGUGGGGAGCAAACAGGAUUAGAUACCCCAGUAGUCCCUGUCUCUUAUAC
rnacentral:rRNA from 1 species